GCUCACUUCGGCAGCGUGUAUUCUAAAAUUGAAACGAUGCAGCAAAGAUUAGCAUGCCCCUGCACAAGGAGAACACGCAAAUUUGUGAAGCGCUCCAUAUUUUG